CCUACGGGAGGCAGCAGUGAGGAAUAUUGGUCAAUGGGCGCGAGCCUGAACCAGCCAAGUAGCGUGAAGGAUGACUGCCCUACGGGUUGUAAACUUCUUUUAUAAAGGAAUAAAGUGAGGCACGUGUGCCUUUUUGUAUGUACUUUAUGAAUAAGGAACGGCUAAAUCCGUGCCAGCAGCCGCGGUAAUACGGAGGAUCCGAGCGUUAUCCGGGUUUAUUGGGUUUAAAGGGAGCGUAGAUGGGUUGUUAAGUCAGGUGUGAAAGUUUGUGGCUCAACCGUAAAAUUGCAAUUGAUACUGGCAGUCUAGAGUACAGUUGAGGUAGGCGGAAUUCGUGGUGUAGCGGUGAAAUGCUUAGAUAUCACGAAGAACUCCGAUUGCGAAGGCAGCUUACUAGACUGCCACUGACAUUGAUGCUCGAAAGUGUGGGUAUCAAACAGGAUUAGAUACCCUAGUAGUC
rnacentral:rRNA from 1 species